rnacentral:rRNA from 1 species
UACGGAGGAUGCGAGCGUUAUCCGGAUUUAUUGGGUUUAAAGGGUGCGCAGGCGGCGAGUUAAGUCAGCGGUAAAAUUUCGGGGCUCAACCCCGACAAGCCGUUGAAACUGGGUGCCUUGAGUGAGUGAGAAGUAAGCGGAAUGCGUGGUGUAGCGGUGAAAUGCAUAGAUAUCACGCAGAACGCCGAUUGCGAAGGCAGCUUACCGGCGCUCAACUGACGCUGAGGCACGAAAGUGCGGGUAUCGAACAGG